CGGCGCACGGGUGAGUAACACGUAUCCAACCUGCCCUUUACUCGGGGAUAGCCUUUCGAAAGAAAGAUUAAUACCCGAUAGCAUAAUGAUUCCGCAUGGUUUCAUUAUUAAAGGAUUCCGGUAAAGGAUGGGGAUGCGUUCCAUUAGGUUGUUGGUGAGGUAACGGCUCACCAAGCCUUCGAUGGAUAGGGGUUCUGAGAGGAAGGUCCCCCACAUUGGAACUGAGACACGGUCCAAACUCCUACGGGAGGCAGCAGUGAGGAAUAUUGGUCAAUGGGCGCUAGCCUGAACCAGCCAAGUAGCGUGAAGGAUGAAGGCUCUAUGGGUCGUAAACUUCUUUUAUAUAAGAAUAAAGUGCAGUAUGUAUACUGUUUUGUAUGUAUUAUAUGAAUAAGGAUCGGCUAACUCCGUGCCAGCAGCCGCGGUAAUACGGAGGAUCCGAGCGUUAUCCGGAUUUAUUGGGUUUAAUGGGAGCGUAGGUGGACUGGUAAGUCAGUUGUGAAAGUUUGCGGCUCAACCGUAAAAUUGCAGUUGAUACUGUCAGUCUUGAGUACAGUAGAGGUGGGCGGAAUUCGUGGUGUAGCGGUGAAAUGCUUAGAUAUCACGAAGAACUCCGAUUGCGAAGGCAGCUCACUGGACUGCAACUGACACUGAUGCUCGAAAGUGUGGGUAUCAAACAGGAUUAGAUACCCUGGUAGUCCACACAGUAAACGAUGAAUACUCGCUGUUUGCGAUAUACAGUAAGCGGCCAAGCGAAAGCAUUAAGUAUUCCACCUGGGGAGUACGCCGGCAACGGUGAAACUCAAAGGAAUUGACGGGGGCCCGCACAAGCGGAGGAACAUGUGGUUUAAUUCGAUGAUACGCGAGGAACCUUACCCGGGCUUAAAUUGCAGUGGAAUGAUGUGGAAACAUGUCAGUGAGCAAUCACCGCUGUGAAGGUGCUGCAUGGUUGUCGUCAGCUCGUGCCGUGAGGUGUCGGCUUAAGUGCCAUAACGAGCGCAACCCUUAUCUUCAGUUACUAACAGGUCAUGCUGAGGACUCUGGAGAGACUGCCGUCGUAAGAUGUGAGGAAGGUGGGGAUGACGUCAAAUCAGCACGGCCCUUACGUCCGGGGCUACACACGUGUUACAAUGGGGGGUACAGAAGGCAGCUAGCGGGUGACCGUAUGCUAAUCCCAAAAGCCUCUCUCAGUUCGGAUCGAAGUCUGCAACCCGACUUCGUGAAGCUGGAUUCGCUAGUAAUCGCGCAUCAGCCACGGCGCGGUGAAUACGUUCCCGGGCCUUGUACACACCGCCCGUCAAGCCAUGGGAGCCGGGGGUACCUGAAGUACGUAACCGCGAGGAUCGUCCUAGGGUAAAACUGGUGACUGGGGCUAAGUCGUAACAAGGUAGCC
rnacentral:rRNA from 1 species